GGCUGCUUGGUGUAAUGGUACGACACGGUGUCCAUAUUGCCAUCAAUAUAUCAAUCUCACCGUGAUGUGGGUUCGACUCCCACAGUAGCCC